rnacentral:rRNA from 1 species
UACGUAGGGUGCAAGCGUUGUCCGGAAUUAUUGGGCGUAAAGAGCUCGUAGGCGGUUUGUCGCGUCUGCUGUGAAAACUCGGGGCUUAACCCCGGGCCUGCAGUGGGUACGGGCAGACUAGAGUGCAGAAGGGGCAAUCGGAAUUCUCGGUGUAGCGGUGAAAUGCGUAGAGAUCGGGAGGAACACCAGCGGCGAAGGCGGCAAACUGGAUAGGCACUGACACUCAACAACGAAAGCGUGGGGAGCAAACAGG